rnacentral:rRNA from 1 species
UACGUAGGGGGCGAGCGUUGUCCGGAUUUAUUGGGCGUAAAGAGCGUGUAGGCGGCCAGGUAGGUCCGUUGUGAAAACUCGAGGCUCAACCUCGAGACGUCGAUGGAAACCAUCUGGCUAGAGUCCGGAAGAGGAGAGUGGAAUUCCUGGUGUAGCGGUGAAAUGCGCAGAUAUCAGGAAGAACACCUAUGGCGAAGGCAGCGCUCUGGGACGGUACUGACGCUGAGACGCGAAAGCGUGGGGAGCGAACAGG